rnacentral:rRNA from 1 species
AGUGAACGCUGGCGGUAGGCCUAACACAUGCAAGUCGAACGGCAGCACAGUAAGAGCUUGCUCUUACGGGUGGCGAGUGGCGGACGGGUGAGGAAUACAUCGGAAUCUACUUUUUCGUGGGGGAUAACGUAGGGAAACUUACGCUAAUACCGCAUACGACCUACGGGUGAAAGCAGGGGAUCUUCGGACCUUGCGCGAUUGAAUGAGCCGAUGUCGGAUUAGCUAGUUGGCGGGGUAAAGGCCCACCAAGGCGACGAUCCGUAGCUGGUCUGAGAGGAUGAUCAGCCACACUGGAACUGAGACACGGUCCAGACUCCUACGGGAGGCAGCAGUGGGGAAUAUUUGACAAUGGGCGCAAGCCUGAUCCAGCCAUACCGCGUGGGUGAAGAAGGCCUUCGGGUUGUAAAGCCCUCUUGUUGGGAAAGAAAAGCAGCAGGUUAAUACCCCGCUGUUCUGACGGUACCCAAAGAAUAAGCACCGGCUAACUUCGUG